rnacentral:rRNA from 1 species
UGGGGAAUCUUAGACAAUGGGCGCAAGCCUGAUCUAGCCAUGCCGCGUGGGUGAUGAAGGCCUUAGGGUCGUAAAGCCCUUUCGCCGGGGAAGAUAAUGACGGUACCCGGUAAAGAAACCCCGGCUAACUCCGUGCCAGCAGCCGCGGUAAUACGGAGGGGGUUAGCGUUGUUCGGAAUGACUGGGCGUAAAGCGCGCGUAGGCGGGCAUUUAAGUCGGGGGUGAAAUCCCGGGGCUCAACCCCGGAAUGGCCUUCGAUACUGGGUGCCUAGAGUUCGAGAGAGGUGAGUGGAAUUCCGAGUGUAGAGGUGAAAUUCGUAGAUAUUCGGAGGAACACCAGUGGCGAAGGCGGCUCACUGGCUCGACACUGACGCUGAGGUGCGAAAGCGUGGGGAGCAAACA